rnacentral:rRNA from 1 species
CGCGUAAGAAUGUACCCCAAAGUGAGGGAUAACUCAUCGAAAGAUGGGCUAAUACCGCAUACGAUCUACGGAUCAAAGCUUCGGCGCUUUGGGAGCAGCUUGCGUUGGAUUAGCUAGUUGGUAGAGUAAAAGCCUACCAAGGCGACGAUCCAUAGCUGGUCUGAGAGGAUGAUCAGCCUGACUGGAACUGAGACACGGUCCAGACUCCUACGGGAGGCAGCAGUAGGGAAUUUUCCACAAUGGGGGCAACCCUGAUGGAGCAACACCGCGUGCAGGAUGAAGGCCUUCGGGUCGUAAACUGCUUUUUUCUGUGAAGAUUAUGACUGUAACAGAAGAAUAAGGGAUGGCUAACUCCGUGCCAGCAGCCGCGGUCAUACGGAGGUCCCAAGCGUUAUCCGGAUUUACUGGGCGUAAAGAGUUGCGUAGGUGGUUUAUUAAGCGAGGCAUUAAAGCGUGUGGCUCAACCAUAUCGUUAUGUUUCGAACUGAUAGACUAGAGAACAAUAGAGGUAAUUGGAAUUCCAAGUGUAGGAGUGAAAUCCGUAGAUAUUUGGAGGAACACCAAUGGCGUAGGCAGAUUACUGGAUUGUUUCUGACACUGAGGCACGAAAGCAUGGGUAGCAAACGGGAUUAGAUACCCCGGUAGUCCAUGCUGUAAACGAUGGGUGCUAGUUGUUGGCCGUAUCGACCCGGUCAGUAACGAAGCUAACGCGUUAAGCACCCCGCCUGUGGAGUACGAGCGCAAGCUUAAAACAUAAAGGAAUUGACGGGGACCCGCACAAGCGGUGGAGCGUGUCGUUUAAUUCGAUGGUAAGCGAAGAACCUUACCAGGGUUUGACAUCCUUGGAAUUUUGCCGAAAGGCGAAAGUGCUUUAUUGAGCCAAGUGACAGGUGUUGCAUGGCCGUCGUCAGCUCGUGUCGUGAGAUGUUGGGUUAAGUCCCGCAACGAGCGCAACCCUUAUGUUCAGUUGAAUUUUUCUGAACAGACCGCCUCGGUAACGGGGAGGAAGGAGGGGAUGAUGUCAGGUCAGUAUUACCCUUACACCCUGGGCUACAAACACGCUACAAUGGCCGGUACAAAGGGCAGCCAACCCGCGAGGGGGAGCAAAUCCUAUCAAAGCCGGUCUCAGUUCGGAUUGCAGGCUGAAACUCGCCUGCAUGAAGCUGGAAUCGCUAGUAACCGUAAGUCAGCACAUUACGGUGAAUACGUUCCCGGGUCUUGUACACACCGCCCGUCAAGUCAUGAGAGUCACCAAUACCCGAAGUCCAAUUUUGGCCUAAGGUAGGGGGGAUGAUUGGGACUAAGUCGUAACAAGGUA